GCUUCCGUGGUGCAGUGGUAGUACGAGUCUCCGGUAAGGUAGAACACGGGUUCGACUCCCGCCUGAGACG